UCUAAGAAUAAUUUGAUGUAAACUUGAUAUGCCUGUUUGAAUAUGCUUUAGUUUUGCCACCCAGUACUUUUCCAUUUUGUUGCUUCGUUUCUGUUAUCGAAUGUGAAUGUGGGCUGUUAUAUGGUCCAUUCUUAGGCUCAUCGAGGUUUAGGAGGUAAUGGGUAUUUUUUCUUUUGUUAUUUAUGUCAUUCUUGUAAAUAUUGAAAAUUAUAUUAAUAGACUUGAGAGGUGGGGACAAGUGAAAUCUAAUCCUCUAUUUCUCUCUUUCUAUCUCAAUUCGUCUACACGGUAUCAGCAGUAAAUUUAUCCGGGCAUUGUUCUCUUCCUUCUUUAAUGUUUUUUAAAAAAUGUUUUUAGGUGAAAAUCUAAGGUUGUUGGGGGCUGAUCUAUUUGAAUCUCUCUCAACCACCGUUUGGUGGACCAUAUAAUUGUCUCUUGAAUUUGUGUGAGGGUCCAUUUUCAUAUAGAUUCAUCGUGAUGGACAAAAGUAGGGCAUCAUUUGUUUAUGGCCAGAUUUGUGAUCAGAUUUGAGAUAAAAAAAUAUAUGUCGAAGGUGAGAUUACAAGGGUUAAAGAAUCAAUGUACAUGUGAAGGUGUUGAAACAAGAAGUUCCAUCAAGUGAUCAUGUUCAUUGAUAUAUAGCGCUUUCUGAAAUACAUGCGGAGUAAGUUAAAGUUAUUCAUUCCUUGGUUGUUGGAUUUCUUCUUUCUCAAUGGAUGUCAUGAAUGAAGCCAAUAGUCUUUUGUCUCCAUCCUAGUUGAUGAACUUACAAAUUACAUUGACUAACUCAAUGGGGCAAAUUACUUACAAUGGGCCACAUCACUAGAGGUAUUCCUUAUGGGUAAAAAGAAAUUAAAAAAUUCGACUUACCCCAAACUUGACGAAAGUUCAAUAGAGUAUGAAGAUGGGGUGGUAGAGGAUGCCUAAAUUAGGACUUUGUCAUGGAACAGUAUGGGGCAUCAGAUUAGUAAAUUUUUUAUAUUUUUUAAGACAACGAAGAAAGUCUGGGAUAACUUGAAGGAGAUGUAUUCAGGGGAAAAGAACUUUACUCAGAUCUAUGAAUUACUUAAAGAGUAAUUCACUCCUCAACAAGGACAUAAUAUUAUUCUACCUUUCAAGGCAUGUGGGAGGAACUAAAUGAAUCCUAGCCCCUACAUACAGAUUAGGAGAUUGUGUGGCGACAGAGAGGAACUCCGUGUUGCCAAUUCCUAUGGUUUUUGUCCUGAAUUCAAGCCUUUCUAAGCUCAAAUUCUUAGAGGUGGUGAGAUCUUAUCUACUACUGAGGCUUUUCUUAUGUUCAAUGUGCAAUCAAUGUACAUAGUUCAUUUUCGUCAAAUUGUUUUGCAUUUAUGUUUGCAUUUGGUAUGGUAGAUGGGGGAAGUCAUGGUGGUAUAGAUAUAAGGGGAGGACGCUUUGAAGGCCAAAAUAAUUGGAGAGAUCGUGAUACAGAUUUUAGUGAUAGUCGUGGCCAUGGCUGUGGAAAUCGACAGUGCACUCAUUGUGGUCUUAGUCAACCACACAACGAAGACAUGUUGGGAUCUAAUUGGUAAGUUUGCCUAGGCAAAUCGGGUUCAUUCCUCUGAUGAUGGCACUAAUGGUCAUAUCUCCAAGCGUAUCUCCACUUCUCAGCCCGGUACUUUAAGUGAUAUAGUUACACUAUCCAUGGAAGAAUAUGCCAGACUUCUAAAAGAUUGCUCCACCCACGCAUCAUCAUCCACAAUUACUCUCAUGCAAUCAUGUACUGUUUACCUUGCAUCGUCUGAUAGUGUACCCUUCGUCAUUAACUUGGGAGCUUCCGAUCAUAUGACCAGUAAGCAUAGUGUGUUAUCUCAGUUACUACAAUCAUCCUCCAUGUCUUCUGUUACGUUAGCAGAUGUUACUUGAACCCAUGUGUCUGGGUUAAGUACCUGUCCUACCCCAUCGCUUUCAUUUGCAUUAGUACUUUACAUUCCUAAUUUUUUAGCUAACUAAGUCCUUAAAUUGUUCUGUCAUAUUUUAUUCUUCCUAAUGUAAAUCUAGGAUCUAAAGAUGGGGAGGAUGAUUGGUGGAAGGCAUGAAGCAAAUGGGCUCUAUUACCUUGAUCAUGGACAUACAUGCCUAUCAUGAGUGACAUUCUAGGUUUUUUUUUCUUAAAAUGAUGACAGGGUUCACAACCCUUUUUUAAGGCGACUAUUUCCUCAGAUGCACACAAUUACCUGCAAGCCACGUGCAUCGAGCAAAGCAUGGGGAGGGGAAUUGAACUCACAUAUGUGGGGAGUAAACCCGCGAUGCUGGCCAUUCACCCAAACCCUGGGUGGGUAUAUGUUAUCCCUCUUUAAGUAAUUUGGAGAGUCUAGUCCCAUCGUUGUCGCAUAUGCAUAGGUUAGAGUAUGAGGCCUAUGAGUUGAGUGAACAUAGAAUAUCUUUUCAUCCUUGUCUAGAUGAGAAGUUAUAAACCAUUUUAUUAGUACAUUUUAAUAUUUGAGGUCCAGUUCAUUUUAUUGGUUUAUCUAUUUUCAUGUACUUUGUUAUUUUAUGGAUUGAUUUUUCUCAUAUGACAUAGCUACAUUUGAUGAAAGAUUGAUUAGGAGUGUUUUCUUACUUUAAAGAAUUUUAUAUGGAACCACAAACUCAUAUUCAAUUCUAGGGUUUGUGUUCUGGAUUCAGAUAAUGUUAGAGAAUAUUUAUCUUAUUAAUUUCAUUCAUACCUUUCAUAAUGCAGGGGCAUUUUCACACCGGGCUCGAGUGGGGUGGCCUAUGGGAUGCAAGGGCACACUCGGGGUUGGUAGCGCGUGUGAUGCGGGUGGCUCGUAUGAGGUGGGCCUCACCCGUGUGAGGCGGAACCCAUGUCAUGUGGGGGCCCACGAGGGGGGUUCGACUGAGGACCCAACCCAUGGGAUGUGGGGCGCAUGAGGGGGUUCGGCCGAGGACCCUACCCAUGGGAUGUGGGGCCUGGGCUAUGUGAUAAAGGGAUUGAUUCAUCACACUCUAUUAGUUCGAGCUUUUAGACCAAGUGGUUAGUUGUCCUGCAUCAAAGUGUUAUCAGAGCGAGAGGUCUAGUGUUUAAGACUCUUCAUUGGGGACGAUUAUUGUAGGGGCAUUUUCACAUCGGGCUUGUGUGGGGUGGCCUAUGGGAUGCAGGGGCACACUUGAGGUGGGUGGCCUAUGUGAUGUGGGUGGCUCGUGUGAGGCGGGCCCCACCCGUGUGAGGUGGGACCCAUAUGAUGUGGGGCCCACGAGGGGGUUCAACCGUGGACCUAACCCAUGGGAUGUGGGGCCUGGGCUAUGAGAUAAAGGGAUUGAUUCACCAUGGUAUAUCAAUUCGAGCUUUUAGAAUAAGUGGUUAGUUGUCCUACAUUUUAUCUGAUAGCAUCAUUCAUGAAACUUCAUGUGUGCACACACCAUAACAAAAUGGGGUAACUUAACGUAAGAAUUGUCAUUUACUUGAAGUUGCUAGAGCCUUAUUGUUGAAUAUGAAGGUUUGGAGAAUAUUUUUGGAGUGAUGUAGUCUUAAUCAAUGUUUUAAAUAUCGUUAUCGUGUAAUGUAUCACACCCUUGGGAUGCGGAUACAUAUUGGUUAUCGCAUGGGAUAUAUCUGUUGUAUCGCGUAAUGUAUCGCCGUUUUGGGAAACAUAGGAACAUUGGGAAAUUGGUCAAUUUUUUCAAUGAAACUUCAGGGAUUGUUGAAAAAGUCAUCAGUACACACUUAGAAAUCAAAACAUUACAAAAACAGGUACACAUAAUAGGGGUUUCCUUUGUAUCUGGUCCUAAUAUAUGCGCUUUCCAACUGAACUGAUGCAAUUAUAUUCAAAAUUUAUUCAUAUAAUUUAUAAACGUGAGAAGACAUGUAUGGAAACCCAAGCAAUGCAUUCAAAAGCAAUAGAAGAAUCAUUAGAUUAGGUUACAUACAUGUUUAAUUUUGUGUUUGGAUACGGAUUGGAAUUGAUUUGCGAGAAAUUGAGAAAAUUUGAUUUUUUCUCAAUUUUCCGCAACUUGACCCAUCUCCCCUAAAUCUCGAAAUUGAAGUUCCAAAUCCAUCAUUUUUCAUGAAAAUAUGAAGAAUCAUAGAUUUUGUAACCAUUUGACACUGGUUUAACGUGAUUUACAACAAAAACAUGGAUCGAAAAUCGAAAAUGCUCACUGGAUCGAAUAGGUGGGAUUUAUUGGCACUACCUAUGCAUUUCGCAUUGCAGAGGUGAGAUACGGGAUAUAUUGUGGCAUAUAUCGGUUGAUAUCGUCGAUAUUUAAAACACUGAUCUUAAUUGCAUGCUACUUAAUAAAUUGAAUGCCUUUAUCUAUUUUAGAUGGAAGUCACCUCUCUCUAUCUUGUGUCCUCAUAUUCCCUCAUAUUCUAUUCCUUCGAAGAUGAUUGGUCGUGUAUGCUUUGUGCAUCAAUUUGGUCAUGUUCAUGACUAGUUUGAACCAAUGGCUAUCAAGUAUAUCUUUAUUGGGUACUCCUAUACUAAUAGGGAUACAAAUGUUGGGUAGAUGUCUAUGCAACUUAUAGAUCAACCUUUGUAGGUUUACUCUAGACAUUCAAAAUGUGGAGAUGGAGUACAUUACCAUAUGAUCAUGACUUCUACGAAUCUUCCUAAUCUGUCAGAAGAUCAUCAUUUUCCUGAGUCCUUACCUCUACCAUCAGAUGAAGGUAAUCUACCCAUUGCUCUUCAUAAGGGUAUUCAUUCAUGUUCACAACAUCCUAUUUUCAACUUUGUUUUAUUUAGUGGUUUAUCUCUAUCAUUUCAACAAUUUGCUUUGACUUUGUCGUCUAUGUCCAUUCCUCAUUUUUAAAGGAGACUAUUGAGUUGUGAUGGGUGGAAAUGGGCUAUGAAAGAAGAAAUGGUUGCACUUAAUUAGAAUCAAACUUGGAUGUUAACUGAAUUACCUCCUAGAAAGUGUGCAGUUAGGUGAAAGUGGGUGUUGAUGGUAUAUAUAAAAAAAAAACCUAAUGGCUCGGUGGAUCUUUUAAGAAGCUCGAUUAGUUGCCAAAGGAUACUCUCAGACCUCUGGAGUCGACUACUCAAAGACCCUCUCACCUAUGACAAAGCUUAACUCAGUGCCGGUAGUUAUCUCCAUUGUUGCAAAUUUGGAUUGCCAUUAUAUCAAAUUGAAGUGAAGAAUGCUUUUCUUGAAGGAGAUCUAGUUGAAGAAGUUUACAUGGAACAACUACUUGGGUUUGUUGCUCAAGCCGAGUUAGAUAAGGUUUGUUAUCACAAGAAAUCAAUUUAUGGGCUGAAAUAGUCUCUAAGUGCGUGAUUUGACAAGUUUUAAAAAAGUGUUGUUUGAGAUCGGAAUGAAAUGUAGCUAGGUGGACCAUUUUGUUUUUGUUUAGCAAAGUGACACAUGCACUAUUGUGUUGGUUAUAUAUGCAGACGGCAUCAUUGUUACAAGCAACAACGAUAUAGGUAUUGCCAGGUUGAAGGCAUUCUUAUAGUGACAUUUCUAUACGAUGGACUUGGGUUGUCUUCGAUAUUCUUAGGCAUUGAGGUGAUCAAGUCCGAGGUAGGCAUCAACUUAUCACAACAAAAAUAUGUGAUGGAUUUACUGAAUGAGACAUGUUCUAAGAGCCAAGCCUACCAAAAUUUUCAUGGAUACAAAUUGGAAACUUUGUGUGGAUUAAGGUGAAUUAAUUGAUGAUCCAAGGAGAUAUCAUGGACUAGUAGAAAAAUUAAUUGAUCUAACAAUUUCUGGACCUGAUAUUGUAGAUUCUGUCAGUGUGGUUAGUCAACGUAUACAGGCUCUCUGGGUUCCUCAUAUGGAGGUCAUGCUUUGUAUCUUCAUGUACUUAAAAAGGAACUCCUGAUCAUGGUAUCCUCUACAAGUGAAAUGGGCAUUUUCGAGUGGAAGGAUAUUCUGAUGUAGAUUUGGUUGGUUCUCCAUCUGAUAGGCGAUCGACAUGCGGUUACGGUACUUUUAUAGCUGAUAAUCUUGUUACAUGGAAGAGUAAGAAGAAAAGUGUUGUGGCCAGUUUAAGUGUUGAGGUGGAAUACAAAGCAUAUUGGCCCAUGCGUCAUGCGAGCUUAUUUGGUGAAAAACACUAAUGGGUGAACUUGGGUUUAUAGAUGAGGUUCCAAUGAAGUUGUACUGUGAUUAUCAAGCAGCCUUUCAUAUUGCCAACAACCUUGUCUAUCAAGAGAGGACCAAGCACAUCGGAGUUGAUUGCCACUUCAUUUGGGAGAAAGUUGUAGCCAAGGAAAUUUGCUUGUUGUUUGUCGUGUCCCAAGAUCAACUAGCAAAUACAUUUACUAAUGCGUGGAGGCUUAGUCUUGUCGCUGGCAUGUGGUUGAUUUGGCGUGAGUGGAAUGAUAGAUGCUUUCGUAAUGUAAGGGUGUGGAGUGGGUCGCUUCUAAUGCAUGGCUCUCUAUCGUUGAGUGGGUGGUGAGCGAGGGUUGAGUGGGUGGUGAGCGAGGGUUGGAUGGGGUAGUUGUAACCUUUCCUCUAUUUUGUUUUCCCUUUGUCUUUUUGGUUUUUUUUUUUUUUGGUAGUCUUUGGCGCUUUCUCAUUGUCUUUUAAUGAAGCUUGUUGUUAUCUUUCAAAAGAAAAGAAAUAAAAAAAAACUAGCAAAUAAAUU